AGUUCAAGCAAAUUAAACAAAAUUCUUAAUAAAAAGUGCUUGAAAACUAUUUAAAAAAAAUGCAGUUUUUUUGUGGAUAAGUGCAAUUUCGCGUACGAUGCCUUAAAGUGGCCAAAAAGAUGGAUUGAAAUUAAUAGUAAAAUGAAUUUGGAAAAAAUUAAAAUCAAAAUGAAAAUAAAACAACGUACCCAUGCAAAAAGCUUUUCAUACUGGACUCUACGAUCGCAUACCGAUUUGUAACAGGUACCAAAUCCUUAUCCAGCAUAGCAACAGCAGUGACAUGGCCACAAAAUUGAGCAUAAUGGUCAUGAGUUAAGGGGGAGCAGGUCCAAUAAAACACAGUAAAAUGCACCUAAAGGUUUUAAAGAUUUGAUAUGAUUUUUCCAUUCCUGAUCAUCGAACUCCAAACGAAAGGGACAAUGUUGAUCGUGUGUUAAAUCCAAAACUUCUGCCACUAUACCAUUACCUUUUGAUUAUUGUCAUCGGUAUCGUGUAAAAAGAAUACUUUCUCUGCCGUAGGAUUUGGCCACGACAAUAUACCCUUUUUAUCUACACAACAUAAGGCGGUAAUGGAGCCUAGGACUUGCACCACAUUUGCCGAGCGUGGCAAUAA